UACGUAGGGCGCAAGCGUUGUCCGGAAUUAUUGGGCGUAAAGAGCUCGUAGGCGGUCUGUCGCGUCGGCUGUGAAAACCCGGGGCUCAACCCCGGGCCUGCAGUCGAUACGGGCAGACUAGAGUGUGGUAGGGGAGACUGGAAUUCCUGGUGUAGCGGUGGAAUGCGCAGAUAUCAGGAGGAACACCUGUGGCGAAAGCGGCUCACUGGACCAUAACUGACGCUGAUGCACGAAAGCUAGGGGAGCAAUCAGG
rnacentral:rRNA from 1 species